GGUUAAGCGACUAAGCGUACACGGUGGAUGCCCUGGCAGUCAGAGGCGAUGAAGGACGUGCUAAUCUGCGAUAAGCGUCGGUAAGGUGAUAUGAACCGUUAUAACCGGCGAUUUCCGAAUGGGGAAACCCAGUGUGUUUCGACACACUAUCAUUAACUGAAUCCAUAGGUUAAUGAGGCGAACCGGGGGAACUGAAACAUCUAAGUACCCCGAGGAAAAGAAAUCAACCGAGAUUCCCCCAGUAGCGGCGAGCGAACGGGGAGCAGCCCAGAGCCUGAAUCAGUGUGUGUGUUAGUGGAAGCGUCUGGAAAGGCGCGCGAUACAGGGUGACAGCCCCGUACACAAAAAUGCACAUACUGUGAGCUCGAUGAGUAGGGCGGGACACGUGGUAUCCUGUCUGAAUAUGGGGGGACCAUCCUCCAAGGCUAAAUACUCCUGACUGACCGAUAGUGAACCAGUACCGUGAGGGAAAGGCGAAAAGAACCCCGGCGAGGGGAGUGAAAAAGAACCUGAAACCGUGUACGUACAAGCAGUGGGAGCACGCUUAGGCGUGUGACUGCGUACCUUUUGUAU
rnacentral:rRNA from 1 species